rnacentral:pre_miRNA from 1 species
AACAAAGUUCGAUUUCGAAACGUCGUGCGCACCGUUUCGAAUUCGAACUUUGUUUU